CGCGGCCUAUCAGCUUGUUGGUGAGGUAACGGCUCACCAAGGCAAUGACGGGUAGCUGGUCUGAGAGGACGAACAGCCACACUGGGACUGAGACACGGCCCAGACUCCUACGGGAGGCAGCAGCAGGGAAUAUUGCACAAUGGGCGAAAGCCUGAUGCAGCGACGCCGCGUGGGGGAUGAAGGCCCUAGGGUCGUAAACCCCUUUCAGUGGGGACGAAAAUGACGGUACCCAUAGAAGAAGCCCCGGCCAACUACGUGCCAGCAGCCGCGGUAAGACGUAGGGGGCGAGCGUUGUCCGGAUUUAUUGGGCGUAAAGAGCUCGUAGGCGGUUGCGUAAGUCGGAUGUGAAAACUCAGGGCUCAACCCUGAGACGCCAUCCGAUACUGCGCUGACUUGAAUCCAGUAGGGGAGUGUGGAAUUCCUGGUGUAGCGGUGAAAUGCGCAGAUAUCAGGAGGAACACCUAUGGCGAAGGCAGCACUCUGGGCUGGUAUUGACGCUGAGGAGCGAAAGCGUGGGUAGCAAACAGGAUUAGAUACCCUGGUAGUCCACGCCGUAAACGGUGGGCACUAGGUGUGGGGACUUUCAACGGUUUCCGUGCCGAAGCUAACGCAUUAAGUGCCCCGCCUGGGGAGUACGG
rnacentral:rRNA from 1 species